rnacentral:rRNA from 1 species
GACGAACGCUGGCGGCGUGCUUAACACAUGCAAGUCGAACGGAAAGGCCCUGCUUUUGUGGGGUGCUCGAGUGGCGAACGGGUGAGUAACACGUGAGUAACCUGCCCUUGACUUUGUGAUAACUUCAGGAAACUGGGGCUAAUACCGGAUAGGAGCUCCUGCUGCAUGGUGGGGGUUGGAAAGUUUCGGCGGUUGGGGAUGGACUGGCGGCUUAUCAGCUUGUUGGUGGGGUAGUGGCUUACCAAGGCUUUGACGGGUAGCCGGCCUGAGAGGGUGACCGGCGACAUUGGGACUGAGAGACGGCCCAGAAUCGUACGGGAGGCAGCAGUGGGGAAUAUUGCACAAUGGGCGGAAGUGUGAUGCAGCAACGCCGCGUGCGGGAUGACGGCCUUCGGGUUGUAAACCGCUUUCGCCUGUGACGAAGCGUGAGUGACGGUAAUGGGUAAAGAAGCACCGGCUAACUACGUG